CCUACGGGUGACAGCAGUGAGGAAUAUUGGUCAAUGGACGCAAGUCUGAACCAGCCAUGCCGCGUGCAGGAAGACGGCUCUAUGAAUUGUAAACUGCUUUUGUACGAGGGUAAACGCAGAUACGUGUAUCUGUCUGAAAGUAUCGUACGAAUAAGGAUCGGGUAACUCCGUGCCAGCAGCCGCGGUAAUACGGAGGAUUCAAGCGUUAUCCGGAUUUAUUGGGUUUAAAGGGUGCGUAGGCGGUCGGAUAAGUUAGAGGUGAAAUCCCGAGGCUCAACUUCGGAAUUGCCUCUGAUACUGUUAGGCUAGAGAGUAGUUGCGGUAGGCGGAAGGUAUGGUGUAGCGGUGAAAUGCUUAGAGAUCAUACAGAACACCGAUUGCGAAGGCAGCUUACCAAGCUACUUCUGACGUUGAGGCACGAAAGCGUGGGGAGCAAACAGGAUUAGAUACCCGGGUAGUC
rnacentral:rRNA from 1 species